CUGCAGGCCCCGUGCUGCCGCUGGAGCGGCCUGAGGGCGCCGCCCUGAGCACCCCAGUGUGCCCCGCUCUGUGACUAGCCCCUGCCCCCAGCGGGGAGGUGCUGCGGGGGUGGCAAUAGGGCUCUUCCUCUAAGAGGCUCUGUUGGACCACCCUACCUCUCAGAACUGCCAGCUGUCCAGGCACCUUGUCUUUGGCCCCAAGGCCUCCUGCAAAAAAUUGGAGAGAGACUGAACAUCCAUGGGGUCCCCCAGCCUCCUGCUGCUCCAUCACAGAUAGGAGAUGGGGUUGUGUGUGCAUGUAAAACAAAUGGGUGAUCACUUCUGAUUGUCACUACUUGUAUCACAAUAAUACAUAGUGUAGUUGUAGCUGUGUUGGUUCCAGGAUAUUAGACAUAUCAGGUGGGUGAGGUAAUAUCUUUUAUUGGACCAACUUCUUUUGGUGAGAGAGACAAACUUUUGAGGUACACAGAGCUCUUUUUCAGGUCAUACAUGGAACAAAUCCUAUUUCCAAAAGGUCAGUGAACCACAGUCAAUAUUAUGGGGGAGUUCUCUGCCUUGAUCCAUUCUUUGUGCUCCUUAGGCAGCACAUAGGGAGUGGAGGCUACUCACAAGUCCCCAGCUGGCAACAUGUUCCCAUAUGUGGUAUGAGCACCUUUCUGAGCCUAUCACCAUCUUGCCCCAACCUGUCAGUACCAAUGGCUAAUUGGGGAGGGGCAGGAGCAAGAGGAGCCACCACCAUGGUCAUAGUUCUUUCCUCGUUUCUGGGGAGUGGCAGCAGCAAGAACCAAAGGGUGUGUUCAGAAGGAACAGGUCUAGGAGCUGUUUUAGCAGCCACAAAGGAGCUCCUGGUGCCUGCCUGCAGUAAUUGUACCACAGUACCUCCUGAAUUCCAUAGAAAUAGUAGCAACAGCCCAGGACAAGGAGAGCACCACGAGUGAGGGAACCGAGGUGUCAGUGUACCUCAGCAAGGAACCCAAGGAACUUCGUUUUUCAUUUGGUUUAGGUGUUACCCUUUCCACAGCCAGUGGGGCAGAGGUGGGUUGGGUGAGGAAAGGGAAUGGUUAGAGUGUAUGCUAGAUUGGGGACCUUAGCCAGCUGUCCCAAAUUAGAGCAGUUCUCAGACUGCUCCUAUGGAUCCAGAGAAUAUAGAGGGUAAAGUAUAGCCAGAACAAACCAAAUUCUGGUCAUAAGUAACACCUCUGAAGUUAAUGAGAUUUCAUGGAAAUAACAGCAAAAUUUGCCACCAAAGGGAUGGGUUAGGAUAAAAGCACCUAGAAUAUAGUUUUCUUUGGGCCUAGAAAAUGUCAUGAUGGUUCUUGUUGUAACUAAUGACUUUUUAGCUGCCUAAAAUCCCUGUGGAUUUCCCCUGCUACGAUUAAAAAGUAACUAGUUAUUUGUUGGUUACUAAGGUAAAUGAUUAGGGGACGGGGAUUAACCUAUGAUUUUCAAAGACAAUCCUGGGAACCUGCCUUUCUCAAUGGAAGAACUAUUCAGCUAAAGAAGGAGUAAUUUGGGAGCAGCAGAGAAACAAUGGGAAAGCCUUUAUAUGUAUCAUAAUGGCAUUCCAAAAAUGUGUCCUGAAAUGAAUAUUUCCUAUUUGGGAGCAGAACAUUAUAUGCCAUGUACAUAUUUGGAGGCAUUUUGCGUUGUUUUUUCCCCACUAAUGUCUAAAACUACAAGCCAAUAUUAGAACAAGGCCUCCCUUUUUCCUCUAUAAUUUCAGGAUCUGACAGCCUUUCCAGGACAAACCUUUAGUGGUUUCAAUCCAGUUAUGGAGAUUCACGAUAGGUUUGUGACUUUGCACAUAUAGUUCAGGCAGACAGCUCAUUAACAUUUUCAAAAUUAGGAAGAAAAAGCCAUUUACAUUAGUUAUAAAUGUGUUUUUAAUUGUUUUGAAUGCUUAACUUGAAAAGUUUGUUUUUAAGAUAUAGUUUUGCAAAUAAUUAGUAAUUAGUCUGCUGAGUUAAAGCUUAGACUCUCUGCUGAAUCUUAAGUUUUGAUUCACAUUGUGAUGUUUUCUUUUUUCUGUAUCAUAUUUUAGAAUGGUCAAUUUGUAAAUGAUCCAGUGCUUAAUCUUGAAAAACAUCAUCCUUAUCUGUAGAUGAUCCACAAUAUAGCCUUAAUAGUGACUUACCAUUUGAGCCCAUAGUAAGAGACUCUGGAGCCCAUCACCCCAGCAGUAACUCCUAGAAGUAUCAUGUAAGGUAAUAAAGGUUUUAGUGCAUCCCAAAUCAUAGACCGGCAGUUUUUGCAGUCAGUGUUUACAAUUGAUGCAGGAUAUAUUUCCUGUAUCCUACUAGAGCUGUCACCGGUCUAGAUUUUUACAGAGCUUGCAGGACAUUAAAACUAUCUUGCAAUAGCCUUAGGGCUAAUGCAACAUCAUAAUAUGAUGAUGGUUGUCUAUGUCACACUGAAUUUUUUGGGUAAUGUUCAGCAAAAAUGGUUCAGUCAUUUCCAGGAAGGAAGUUAGGGAAAAAUAGGCUGUUUUGUUUAAAAAAAAAAAUUCUUACAGUUGUUUCUUUGAGAAACUACAGUGCCUCCAUACUUGGGAGUAGGGACAUGAAAUUUGGCAGGGGAGCUGCCCUCGUGUCAGAGAUGUGGCUUUUGCUGUCCCUUUGAAAAUCUGUCAAAUUUGGCCAAGUUAUAAACCUCUGAAAAAUCUCAGUUCAUCCAUGCUUAGCCUUGUUAGAAUUUGACAGAGGAAUUCUGAGAAGAUUUCAUCUGCCCUGAACAUGCUCCAUCCCUCCAUGCCAGCCAAACUGCCCAUGUGCCAGCCCCUCAGAGCAACUGAACAUGCUCCAACCAAGGGCUGUAGGGGCUGAACAAACUUUUCCUAUAAUUGCUCCUCCUGGCUGCCUAAUUUUUGAAUGCUUGACUUUGCAACCCUAGCAUGCUGUUAACAUUGUUUUUUGUAUGCAGUAUAGAGUAGAUACAGAGUAGAAUUAGUGUGGAGAGAAAUAUAAUAUAGUACAGUCCAUUUCUUUUUAAACUCCUCAGGGUGACACCUCCUGCCAAGACGUUUAAUGUGAAAAAGUAUGCAGAUAAUAUGGUGGUUUAAGAUUGGUAUUUGAGAAAUUGAUGCAAACUAUGCUGGGCAGGGCUAGAAACCUUCAACCUCCAAGAUGAGGUAAGGAAGAAAAGGUUGUUGGAGCCCACCUUUCUCUGGAUUUGUGGUCAAAAGGGUCCUUUCCUCUAAGGAGUGUUAAUAUUAAAACUGCAGGCCUCCAGACAUGUAGGAAAUGCCUAAUGACCACAGAUAAGAACUGAGUUUAAGGGGCAUAGGUCACAAUUACCCAACUGGGAAUUUACCCAGAUACUGUUUUUAUGUCUCAUCGGAAAGGUCAAGACAGUGAUCCAAAACCAACUGGCCAUUGGUUUGAUACUGAUUCAAUGGAGGAGUGUCAUCUAUAGAAUCACCAACACCACUUCCCACAUCACCCUGGAUGUUCCUUGGAAAUCCAACUUACUGCCAUCAAGUACUGAACAGUCCAACCCUAAAGUUACAUAUUAACUGGAGUGGAUUUGUGGGGACACCUUAUGGUCAGUUUGGAAAACUACGUGCCUUUAUUCACAAAGGUGUAAAAGCCAGUUCUGUGUAGAGGGCCACUCCAAGGCCUUUGAACCAUUCAAGUUCAUUUCCAGAUAGCCCAAUGCUGAGGAAUGGGUCUGGUGUGUGGAGGGAGAUGGGUUCAGUGUAUAUUGUGCAACAGAGGAAGUUAUCACUUGUUUAAUAGUAGUAAAUAUGGUAAUACCCAUGGGUGCAAUUGGGAUUGAGGCCCUAUUGUGCUGGGCUCUGUGUGAUCACAAAAAAAGAAACAAUCCCUGCCCUGAAAGGUUUACGAUCUAAAGAUUUAGUGCUUACAGUAUGCUGGGAAAAGUACAAUUAACUAAAGAGGCAUUGACUCAGAAAAACAGUGAAGCAGUAUCUACAGAAAUAAGAAGGAGAAAUAUGAGGAGGUAUUAACUUACAUGGCUUUUGCUCGCUCUCCACCUCUUUUCUUAGAGCGUUCACAAAAACAGGAAAAGAUUGCCUGAUUUCCUAAUUAAGGGCCCAAUUAUUCUGUCAGCUACACUGGUGUAAAUUCUGAGUAAUUCCUUUGGCUUCAGCAUGUUACUUUAAAUUUACAUUAAUGUAUUUGAGAAAAGAAUUUGGCCCUAAAAAGGAGAGACAGGAAAUGCCUUUGAUGGUCAUCAGCUGAAUCAGGCUUUAUUGGCAUGACAAGCUGUUUGAGUGUUGCCAAAGUGUAAGAAAAAGACAGGCCAUCAAUCAUCUGUCAGAGGCAGGUAUGAGCCAUCCAGAAUAGAGUUACACACUGGGUUUGGGAUUAUUACAGUCCAUUCCUGAUCUUGUAGCAGGUUGCUGUAACAUGAAGCCAAAACAGAAUAUCAUUUGGUGAUGAGCAUUGGGAGGAUAUGUCAAUAUGAAAAUAUAUGAAGAGAAUAUGUAAAUUGACGAGAAUAUAUUAACCUAAGGAUCCAAACCUGCAGACCUUUCAAGGCCAUGUCUACACUACAGUGGCAGAGUACAACACUGCAGCUGUGCUGCUGUAGCACCCUAAUGUAGAUGCUUCCUACAUCAACUGAAGGUUUUUUUCUGUCAGUGUAGUUAAUCCAUCUCUCUGAGAAGCAGUAGGUAGGUCAACAGAAGAAUUCUUCCAUUAACCAAGCUGCAUCCACACUGAGGGUUAGGCUGACCUAACUGGUGCUCGAUGCAACAUUUUUCACAGCACUGAGUGACGAUUAUCUCAUUUUUAAGUGUGGUACAGGCCUAAGAAAAUUGUUUUGGGCCUGAUCCUGCAUUCCUUUUGCAUACAAAACUCAUUGAUUUUGUGGUAUUCUGAAAAUUGUGUUAAAAUUGUGAUCUAGCACUUUACAUUCCCGGGGUUUUGCUAGAGCUCUGUAGGGAAGCAUGUGAUCAGAUUCACUCUGUGUGUAGCCAGCCAGCCUAGAGUGACAAACAAGGUCAGAGUGAGCUGUGCCUCUGCAUUUUAGGGAGCAGCCUGCUUUCUCUCUCUCUGAUUUUGGAUUCUUAUUUGUUAUUGUUCUGAAUUCUAAGAAUAAAGUAGUGUUUGUUGCAAGCUUC